GAUGAACGCUGGCGGCGUGCCUAAUACAUGCAAGUCGAACGAGGUGCUUUUGUAGCAAUACGAGAGUAUCCUAGUGGCGAACGGGUGAGUAACGCGUUGGUGACCUACCCCAAAGUGUGGGAUAACAGUCCGAAAGGAUUGCUAAUACCGCAUGUGGUCAUUGGAUUUAGAAACUGAUGACUAAAGGAGCAAUUCGCUUUGGGAGGGACCUGCGUCCCAUCAGCUAGUUGGUGAGGUAAUGGCUCACCAAGGCGACGACGGGUAGGGGACCUGAGAGGGUGACCCCCCCACAAUGGAACUGAAACACGGUCCAUACACCUACGGGUGGCAGCAGUAGGGAAUAUUGCUCAAUGGGCGAAAGCCUGAAGCAGCAACGCCGCGUGUGUGAUGAAGGCCUUCGGGUCGUAAAGCACUUUUCUGGGAGAUGAGAAAGGACAGUAUCCCAGGAAUAAGUCUCGGCUAACUACGUGCCAGCCGCCGCUGUAACAC
rnacentral:rRNA from 1 species